UGAGUGCGAGCUGCUACGGCAGCGAAGUUGGUGACGUCAAGCUUCCAAGAAAAGCCCUACACCCGUUAAGGCAUCAUGGCCUGUACCCGAAACCGACACAGGUGGGGUGGUAGAGAAUACCGAGGGGCGCGAGGUAACUCUCUCUAAGGAACUCGGCAAAAUGGCCCCGUAACUUCGGGAGAAGGGGUGCCAGCGAGAGCUGGUCGCAGUGAAGAGGCCCAGGCGACUGUUUACCAAAAACACAGGUCUCCGCUAAGUCGCAAGACGAUGUAUGGGGGCUGACGCCUGCCCAGUGCCGGAAGGUUAAGGAAGCUGGUCAGCGCAAGCGAAGCUAGCGACUGAAGCCCCGGUGAACGGCGGCCGUAACUAUAACGGUCCUAAGGUAGCGAAAUUCCUUGUCGGGUAAGUUCCGACCCGCACGAAAGGCGUAACGAUCUGGGCGCUGUCUCGGAGAGAGGCUCGGCGAAAUAGAAUUGUCUGUGAAGAUGCGGACUACGUGCACCCGGACAGAAAGACCCUAUGAAGCUUUACUGUAGCUUGGUAUUGUGCUCGGGCUCGGAAUGCGCAGGAUAGGUGGGAGGCUUGGAUCCAUUGCUUGCGGGUGAUGGUGAGCCACUGGUGAGAUACCACUCUUUCCGAGCUAGAGUUCUAACCCUUGCCCGUUAUCCGGGGAGGGGACAGUAUCAGGUGGGCAGUUUGACUGGGGCGGUCGCCUCCUAAAAGGUAACGGAGGCGUGCAAAGGUUCCCUCAGGCUGGUUGGAAAUCAGCCGACGAGUGCAAAGGCAGAAGGGAGCUUGACUGUGAGACCUACAAGUCGAACAGGGACGAAAGUCGGCCUUAGUGAUCCGACGGUUCUGCGUGGAAGGGCCGUCGCUCAACGGAUAAAAGUUACUCUAGGAUAACAGGCUGAUCUCCCCCAAGAGUUCACAUCGACGGGGAGGUUUGGCACCUCGAUGUCGGCUCAUCGCAACCUGGGGCUGAAGUCGGUCCCAAGGGUUGGGCUGUUCGCCCAUUAAAGCGGUACGCGAGCUGGGUUCAGAACGUCGUGAGACAGUUCGGUCCAUAUCCGGUGCACGCGCAGGAAUAUUGAGAGGAUUUCUCCCUAGUACGAGAGGACCGGGAGGAACGCACCUCUGGUGUGCCAGUUAUCGUGCCAACGGUAAACGCUGGGUAGCCAUGUGCGGAGAGGAUAACCGCUGAAAGCAUCUAAGUGGGAAGCCCACCUCAAGAUGAGUAUUCCCAUGGCAAAAGCCAGUAAGGUCACGGGAAGAUUACCCGUUGAUAGGCUCUACGUGGAAGCGCAGCAAUGCGUGAAGCGGAGGAGUACUAAUAGACCGAGGGCUUGACC
rnacentral:rRNA from 1 species